rnacentral:rRNA from 1 species
AACGGUAACAGGAAGAAGCUUGCUUCUUUGCUGACGAGUGGCGGACGGGUGAGUAAUGUCUGGGAAACUGCCUGAUGGAGGGGGAUAACUACUGGAAACGGUAGCUAAUACCGCAUAACGUCGCAAGACCAAAGAGGGGGACCUUCGGGCCUCUUGCCAUCGGAUGUGCCCAGAUGGGAUUAGCUAGUAGGUGGGGUAACGGCUCACCUAGGCGACGAUCCCUAGCUGGUCUGAGAGGAUGACCAGCCACACUGGAACUGAGACACGGUCCAGACUCCUACGGGAGGCAGCAGUGGGGAAUAUUGCACAAUGGGCGCAAGCCUGAUGCAGCCAUGCCGCGUGUAUGAAGAAGGCCUUCGGGUUGUAAAGUACUUUCAGCGGGGAGGAAGGGAGUAAAGUUAAUACCUUUGCUCAUUGACGUUACCCGCAGAAGAAGCACCGGCUAACUCCGUGCCAGCAGCCGCGGUAAUACGGAGGGUGCAAGCGUUAAUCGGAAUUACUGGGCGUAAAGCGCACGCAGGCGGUUUGUUAAGUCAGAUGUGAAAUCCCCGGGCUCAACCUGGGAACUGCAUCUGAUACUGGCAAGC